rnacentral:ncRNA from 1 species
AUGAAAGCGAUGAUUUAGAGUAGUAAUAAAUAAGUAUUUAUAGAGAAUUGACGGGUGGUGUGAGUCAAUAAUAACUGUUUAUGAAUUCGCUAAUGAGCAUUAUAUAUAAAAUAUAUAACGUGACCUGCGUUAAAGGAAUAAGUGCAUAGAAUCUAUGAACUAAGGUGGUACCGUUCUUAUGAACCCUUAGA